AUUGAACGCUGGCGGCAGGCCUAACACAUGCAAGUCGAGCGAGCGGCGGACGGGUGAGUAAUGUAUGGGGACUGCCCGAUAGAGGGGGAUAACUACUGGAAACGGAGGCUAAUACCGCAUACUGUUGGAUAACCCAGAUGGGAUUAGCUAGUAGGUAAGGUAAUGGCUUACCGAGGCAACGAUCCCUAGCUGGUCUGAGAGGAUGAUCAGCCACACGGGGACGGAGACACGGCCCAGACUCCUACGGAGGCAGCAGUGGGGAAUAUGGCACAAUGGGCGCAAGCCUGAUGCAGCCAUGCCGCGUGUAUGAAGAAGGCCCUAGGGUUGUAAAGUACUUUCAGUCGGGAGGCGUUACCGACAGAAGAAGCACCGGCUAACUCCGUGCCAGCAGCCGCGGUAAUAC
rnacentral:rRNA from 1 species